rnacentral:tRNA from 1 species
GGAGGAAUGGCUGAGCGGUCUAUAGCAGCAGAUUGUAAAUCUGUCGGGUUUUCCCCUUCGUAGGUUCGAACCCUGCUUCCUUCA